UGAAGGGUGCUGAAGAGAAGAAAAAGAAGGUUCCUGCUGUGCCAGAAACUUUUAAGAAAGAGCAAAAGAAUUUCACAGAGCUGAAGAUCAAAAUGCCUAAGAAGGAAAAUAUGCUUCAAAAGGCAAGGAGGAAGCUUAUCUAUGAAAAAGCUAAGCACUAUCACAAGGACUAUAGGCAGAUGCCCAUAACUGAGAUUCAAAUGGCUAGGCUGGCAAAAAAAGCUGGCAACUGCUAUAUACUGGCAGAACCCAAAUUGGCAUUUGUCAUCAGGGUCAGAGGUAUCAAUGGUGUGAGUCCAAAAGGUGUUGCAACUCUUUUGCCUUUGCCAGAUUUUCAACAGAAACUUUGUUAAGCUCAAGGCCUCAAUGAAUAUGCUGAGGCUUUAGAACCACAUAUUGCAGGGGGGUACCCGAACCUGAAGUCAGAAAAUAAACUAAUAUAUAAGCAUGGUUAUGGCAAAAUCAGUAAGAAGUGAAUUGCCUUGACAGAUAACACUUUGAUUUCUUGAUCUCUUGAUAAAUCUGGUAUCAUCUGCAUGAAGAAUCUGAUUCAUGAGAUCUAUACAGCUGGAAAAUACUUCAAAGAAGCAAAUAACUUCUUAUGCCCUUCAAGUUAUCUUCUCCACAGAAUAAAGAAAAAGGCCACCCAUUUGUAGGUGAAAAUGCCAGCAACAGGGAAGGCUAGAUCAAUAGGCUUAUUAGAAAGAUAAAA
rnacentral:lncRNA from 1 species